AAGGUCCCAGCAGCCCUCUCCUCUCCACAGGCUACUUGUGGCUAAUGCCACAAGUUUGGAAGGGGUCUCCAAACACGUCCAAAUCUCCAAAGGGGAGCUCUCCACUGAGGGGCUGCCAGGUCGACAGGCCUGAUAGAGCACAACAGCUGCAGCUCAAAAAUCUCGUUCAAUUCCCCCCUUUCCUCCGCCCACUGCCCCGGGCCGGCCUGGUGCAGCGAGGGGGCGGCGCCCCUCAGCCCAGCCCGGUCAGGCCCGCGCUGCGUGGUAGGAGCGCCCGCUGGGGAGGGGCCCGAGCGGGGCAGGUAGCCCGGGCUGCCGCCCGCGAUUGGAAUGUGCCCAGGGCGCGGGGGGCGCUUCCUGGCGGGAUGAAGGGGCUCCCUGCUGGCCGCCUUCCCGUUCUCGCCGCCUUCCUGGGGCUCUUCUGGACGCGCCAGGCAUUCGGAGCCUCUUUUUUUGGUGAAAGUUUUGUGGAACUGAACAUCAUAGAAGCUUCUCCAGACUUAUCCCUUCACUUAAAAUUUCAGACCAGCAAACCACAUGGAUUACUUUUUCUAGCAGCUGGAAAAGAUGAUUAUUGUGCAGUGGAACUCAUUUCAGGAAACCUACGGGUGAGAGUGAAUUUGGGUGCAGGUGAAUUAGUGCUACUCCAUUCUCAACAAAAAUCACGCCUGGAUGACUUGGCUUGGCACGUGAUUGAUUUACAUCAUGCAAGUGAUACUGUCACUCUGGUUGUUGACAAUCUCUAUAGGACCAGUGGGAUAAUAUCAGGGAGGAUACACGGAUUGAAUAUUCAGCAAGGAAUCUAUGUUGGGGGGAGCGGCAGUCUUGAUGUUCCUUACUUGGAAAGAGGAUGCUCUAAUUUCCGAGGAUGUAUGGAGGAUGUGAUAUUUAACCAGCGUGAGAUUCUGAACUCCCUCAGGUCUUACCCUGGAUUUAAGAAAGUUCAUGAGGUGUCAUUGGGAUGUAGUGAUGAAUUCUUUGCAGGUGAAGAUGAAGCUGUCAAUUUCUUUAGCUCCAAAUCUUAUGUCACUUUCCCAGGGUGCAACACCAAGAGAGAAGGACUCUGGGAAUUUACUUUUCAGACUGGAGCUGACCAGGGUUUGCUUCUCUAUCAGUCUGGAAGAUCAGGGGACUUUGUUGCUUUGCAAAUAGAAGCUGGAUUCAUUAAGGCACAUGUUGGAAGGAAUCAAAAUAAAACUGAGCUUCCUUCCCUUAGCUUAAUUAGCGACAAUGAGUGGCACUUUGUUCAACUCCAGUUCACCAGGAGGUAUUUCAGCUUGCUGGUUGAUGAAGAAAGAGUCCAAAUAUCCCUGCCUCUACACAGCAGGGCAUUUGAAUGUAAAGAUCCACUCUUUGUGGGAGGUGUUGAUAACAGUGCCUGGGCAGAAAUAAAGAAGUUAAAGUUUACCCCAGUUUCUAGGAAAUCUGCCAGAGGUGGCUCCUUCAAAGGCUGCUUAAGAGGCCUGAAGGUUAACUUGGAAGAGCUAUCGCUAAAGAAUGCCCUUGUUUCCAAAGAUAUUUCAGCUGGAUGUAAUACUAAAAGUGGCGUUGUUUCAAAUAUUCCUGUAGCAAUGACUGAAAAAAUGACACUUCAGACAACAACUCCCUCUUUUAGCGCUCUCCCUGAAAGAUUCAAAUCUUCCCUUCAGAAGGACAGCAGUAAUUUCUUGGCUUUGAAUAACUUGGUAGUUCAGGAAGGUGGACAAGCCCCAGUUGAAAGUAAACAUAUUUGGGUGAAUUUGGAAUUUAAGGAAUUAGAAAUUCAUCAUUCCCAAGUCCUGUUUCAAAUUAAGGAAAAACCUAUUCAUGGAGAUUUGAGAUUAAAUGGUGCACCUGAAUCCCAGGUAAAAGCAACUUUUACAAUGAUAGAUUUGUGGCAAGGAAGGGUUAUAUAUGUCCAUGAUGGCUCUGAGAGCACCAGAGAUCACUUUAUAUUCUCUGUUUCUAUCAGCAAGGAGAAGGAAAUUCCUUUCCAUCUGCAAGGAAAUGAUCAAUAUGUGUUUAACAUUACCAUCAGUCCAGUAAAUGACCCCCCAGAGCUCUCCCUUCCAGAAGGAAAUUUGCUUCUCCUAUUAGAGAACUCCAAAAAGCGACUGACGUCUAACAUGAUAGAGGUAUUGGAUCCAGAUACUAACCCAUUGGACCUGACUUUUUCAGUACUUGGAAACUUCAAUGCUGAUACUGGAUAUUUAGAAAACUCUAAGCAUCCUGGAAAAAUAAUUAAUACGUUUACAAAUGAGGAUUUACAACAUGGAAGAAUUUUCUAUGUGCACCGUGGGCCCCAGAAUUCCCGUAUUGUUCUGCGAAUAAGUGAUGGGGAGUUGGUUAGUAAUACAACUGUAUUACGAGUCAAGGCCAUCCCUUGGGAUUAUGAAGUGGUAAACAACACUGGUGUGACUGUUCAACAGGGCAGCAUGGUUCUGAUUACUCAGAGCAACUUGUCAGUACAGAUUAAUGCUGGGGAGCAGGAGAUGGAGAUACGGUAUGAGAUUAUCCAACAUCCUCUUUUUGGUCAGAUUCAAAGACGAAGUUCCAAUGGGGAAUGGAAGCUUGUCAACACCUUUUCUCAACGUUCUAUUGAUCGAGAUCGGGUGAGGUACUAUAGUACCUUUAAAGAAUCACAAGGGGAAAAUGUCACCGAUCAUUUUACAUUUAAAAUUAGCAUUGAAAAUAAAGUGAGUGAAGAACUGAUAUUUCCCAUAGCCAUACAAUGGCUGAAGUAUAGAUUGGUGAAAAACAGUCCCCUCAAUAUUGAUACAAUGGUUAAAAAAAUGUUGACUUCAGAUCACUUAAUGGUUAGGAUGGAGAGUAUGAAGGCACUUGAGAGCGAGCUUUAUUUUAAAUUACUCUCCCUGCCUAAGAAAGGAAAACUGCUGCUUGGCAGAAGUGUUUUAAAACUAAACUCCACCUUCAGCCAAAAAAAUAUUAUAGAUAAUGAAGUUGCUUAUGAACUAGUGGAGAGGCCACAGGAAAACACACAAGAUUCAUUCAGAUUCUUGAUUUGUACCAACUAUAUAGAAUCAAAGGUUUAUAUCUUCACAAUAAAUAUCAGAGCAGAUCACAAUCACAUUAUUUUAACCAACAAAGGAUUUUCUGUAACUGAAGGGGAAGGGAAGUUAAUCACCAAAACAGAAUUAUUUGUGCAAACUUUGAGUAAUCAGGUUUUCCAUUAUAAAGUCACCAAGAGCCCUCACCAUGGGAAGCUGAAACUUAUUAACUCUUCAGAUUCACUGGAAAGUAAUGACAACAUAACUACUUUCACCAACCAGGAUAUCAUUGGUGAACGUUUAAUGUAUGUCCACGAUGACUCUGAAACUGUGUGUGAUGAAUUCAUCGUUAGGGCAUCUGCCAAAGGAGCAGGAGAUGAGGAGAUCAGGGUGGGUCCCGAAAUGAAAGUAAAUAUUUCUGUGAAACUAAAGAAUGAUGAGAAGCCUGUGCGUGUGGUGGAUACAGUAUUUCAUGUGGUAAGAAAUGGUCAGCGCUUAUUGACCUUGAUGGAUCUUUGUUACCAUGACCCCGAUUCAGAUUUUAACGAUAGGCAGUUGGUAUACACCAGGCGGGGCAUUCCAAAUGGUGAUCUGGUGUUAGCUAGUGAUCCCAGCCAAAAGCUCUACCAGUUCAAACAAGAAGACCUAGAGGAAGGGUGCAUUCUGUUCAGGCAUCACGGCGCAGACUAUGCCCGAUUUGUGCUGCUUGUCACAGAUGGCACCCACUACACAUCCUCCCUUUUAGAGGUCAGUGCUUCGGAACCAUACGUGUGGAUAGCCAACAACACAGGAUUGCUUGUGCUAAAAGGAAGAGAAAAAGCUCUCACAACUGCUAACCUUAGUGUUACCACAAAUCAUGACAUCAGAAGUGACACAGAGAUCAAGUAUGAGAUCUUUUUGCUUCCAAAGUAUGGUAGAGUCUUGGUGAAAAAUAGACCAUCAACUUCAUUUUCCCAGAAUGACUUGAAGCAAGGACAUGUGAUUUACAGGCAUGAUGACAACCACCACCUUGCCGAUGUGUUCAACUUGACUGCAAAAGUUAAAGAGACACACUUGAAUGUUGGGAUUCGGGUCCAGGUGUACUUGGAAAGCCACCAACAUCCCCCUAAAGUUGUUCACAGCAAGAAGCUUUUAGUUGAAGAAGGAAAAUCAGUGAAACUCAGUAGAAGAAAGCUUCAGGCUGUACAUGAAAAUAACUCUCCAUCCGAGAUAGUGUUCAUCAUUAAGAGCCCCCCGGUCCAUGGACAGCUCCGAAAAUUUGUCCCAGAAGAUUGCUUGGAUGCUGAUGAGAAUUCUCCUUUGUCAUUUACACAACAAGAUAUAGCUGAUGGUUAUAUCCAUUAUGAGCAUACAGCUUUUGGCCAACAGCAAGAUCGCUUUUUGCUGGAUGUGACAAAUGGUGUCCAAGCCAUCAGUGGUGUAGAAAUCAUGGUGGAUAUUAUCCCUAGGCUGAUUCCUUUGGUCAUACAGAACUUCACGGUACAAGAAGGUGGCUCCAGAGCCCUUUUAGAGGACUUCCUUAAAAUUCCAAAUCACCAUUUUGUAGGAAUUGACUGUGAAUUUGUCCUAAUUGAAUCACCAAAGCAUGGUUAUAUUGAAAAUUCUCAUUUUCCAAGAAUAAAACUAAUGAAGUUUACCAGAAAACAGGUGGAAAAAGAAUUAAUUUACUAUGUUCAUGAUGGAAGUGAAGAACGACUUGACAGUUUUACAGUCUUUGUGAAUAACACAGAACUUGGGAAACAGAGUUUGUCCCAAACUCUCUUUGUGGCGGUUCAACCAGUAAAUGAUGAGGCUCCAGUCAUAGUAGCCAAUAACAUAUUGCGGGUCUGGAUGAAUUCUGUUACUGAAAUAACCCAAAAUGAUCUAUGUGCAGAAGACAUUGAUUCCUCACCAGGGGAACUGUUCUACUCCGUCACCCUUCCCAGCAAUGGUCACUUGGCUCUGAAAUCUUUUCCAAAUACAAGCAUCCUGAAUUUCACCCAAGCUCACAUCAAUGAGGGCCACCUAGUGUUUGUACACACCGGAGCAAUGUCUGGUGGCUUUAGCUUUCAGGUUACUGAUGGCUUGAACUUUGCACCCCGACAGAUUUUUAGCAUCACAGCUCAAGUGCUGGUUCUCAGUCUGGAAACAAACAAAGGACUGGGAGUCUUUCCAGGCUCCACAAAGCCCAUUACAUCUCACGCCCUGAAAGCUGUGACCAAUGAUGAGGACAGUGCGGGAAACCGAACGGUCACUUUCACAGUUCUAAGUUCCCCCAACUUGGGAGGCUCAUUAGGCUAGACUCUGGCAAUGACACACAGGAUGUUUCUGCAUUUACACAACAUGCGGUAGAGCAACUGAGACCCAGUUUCUUGGACAGCUGACUUGGUUAAUGAAGGUCUGAUAUCAUACAAGCAUGCAAACAGUGAAAUUCAAGUCUGGGAUGCAGAAGACUCUUUUACAUUCACGGUGUCCUCGCCUCCAGCUAUUCUGGGACCCCAGGUGUUUCCUAUUACAAUCUCAUAUGAUAUCAUCGAGCCUGGUCAGCACAGUCACCUUCUUGCAAA